rnacentral:rRNA from 1 species
UAACGCGUGGAUGACCUGCCCCGUGGUGGGGAAUAACUGCCCGAAAGGGUGGCUAAGACCGCAUGCGCUCCCAUCUUCAGUGGUGGGAGGAAAGCCCGUGAGGGCGCCAUGGGAGGGGUCCGCGUCCGAUUAGCUAGUUGGUGGGGUAACGGCCUACCAAGGCGACGAUCGGUAGCUGGUCUCAGCGGAUGAUCAGCCAGACUGGGACUGAGAGACGGCCCAG